GGGUCAGUAGGUUGGUCGUGCCACCGGUACGUACUGGUCUCACUGAUUCCUCCUUCCUGAAGAACCGUAAUGCCAUUAAUUUGGUGUUGCGGGGAAACAGGACUGUUACUUUGAAAAAAUUAGAGUGUUUAAAGCAAGCUAACGCUUGAAUACAUUAGCAUGGAAUAAUGAAAUAGGACGAUCGAUCCUAUUUUUGUUGGUUUCUAGGAUUGACGUA
rnacentral:rRNA from 1 species